UGAUUAGUGACUAGUUAUGAGCUCGAAACUUAAAGAAUUUGGCGGUAUUUUAGUCUGGUUAGAGGAACCUGUCCUGUAAACGAUAACCCACGAAUAAUCUUACCUUUAAAAGUAGACUUUCAGCUCGUAUACCGCCAUUAUUAGAUGACUUGCAUAAUAGGGCAUUGAAAUAAAUUAGUAUUUAGGAUAUUAGGUCAAGGUGCGGUUAAUGUAAAGGUUAGUGAUGGGUUACAGUGGGGCUACACACUAUACGGAGAAAAGUUAGAAGUUGGCUUAGUGAAGGUGGAUUUAAUUGUAAAUUUAUUUUAAUAUGAUAGGUUGAUAUGAGCUCUAAAAUAUGC
rnacentral:rRNA from 1 species